CACGCCGUAAACGAUGGAUACUAGGUGUAGGAGGUAUCGACCCCUCCUGUGCCGGAGUUAACGCAAUAAGUACCCCGCCUGGGGAGUACGGCCGCAAGGCUGAAACUCAAAGGAAUUGAC
rnacentral:rRNA from 1 species